UAAAUUAAAAGAUUAACAAACUCGAUAUUUUGGUUCCUGAUUAAUUAUGGAGAUCACUCAAAAAAGAACAAAAAUGAAAAGAUAAUUAAGCAAACAUCAGUAAGAUACAGAAUAAAUCACAAGGUCAUACAAAUUUUGGACCCUGCUGUUUGUAAUUACAUUUGGUAUCAUCAUGAUUCAUGAUCAUCAACAAAGAGAAACAAACCCACCACCCAACGCCACCAAUAUUUGAAGCCAAAAGAGAAAAAGAAAAUGGUAAUAAUACAAAAUAAAAGAAAAAAGAAACUCAACAAAUUUUGAUGAUUGAAUUAAGAGAAUUGCUUCUGAAAAUGUGUACAAAGCCACUGAUUAUGAUUGUGUUGAGCUUUCUGUAUCACCAAGAAGUGCAGCAGAGAUCCAUUCUGAUGCAGCUGCUAGUGUUUCUGACUCGGUAUGUGAAUGAAGUGGUAGAGGAGUAAUUGACACCUAAAAUAAAGAAGAAAUCAAGUUUGCUUCAUCAAAUUUUGUACUGAAUCAACUGAUUUCUAAGAAUGACAAAGGAUUAGCAGGAAAAGCUGUUUUAUGUCGUUGACUUACAAAUCCGUUUUCCAGUGCUCUGAAAUCCAGGUCCUCAUCGGUAUCUUCCU
rnacentral:lncRNA from 1 species